UGAUUUUAGUCUUAAGGUUUUAGCAAACUAUUUGAUUUUCUGCUCACCUCCCUUGCUCGUGAUCCCACUCAUUGAUAGUUAGUCUGGAUUUGAUCGCGACAUUGAUUAACAGUUGUGGUGAAGAAAUCCUAAUUUGGGAUAGUUUUUAGACAUACUACUCUGGUGAGUAAUGAGGAAGCUCAAGUAUCAUGAGAAGAAGGUUCUGAAGAAAUUAAAUUUCUUGGAAUGGAAAAGAGAAGGUGGCCAACAGAUGGAUCCAACUGAUCCUUUUCGGAUUCAGAUGACUGAUAUGCUUCUCGAUAACCUGUGAGUUUUACUUACCAGUGUGUACAGCUUCUUACAAGCAAUGGCUCUUUUGUUUCCUUAGGUCUUUUCAACAAGAGAGUUAUCCUUUUUCCGCUGCUGUUACAUCGAUCUUCACUUCAUAAGCUUCGAUACAACCUGGGAGUUAUACCGACUAGGAAAAGCUUAGGCAUUAACUGAUCGGUUACCAGUUUCGUCCUUCUGUAGGCGCAGGCUAUCGACAGUCCUGGUUCACCUGAAGGUUCUUCAGUACAAUGACAAAUUGGAUGACUACGACAUGAUCGCUUAACUUUAAAACAAACUGUUAUGGCCAAUGUUAAGGAUAACCACAGAUUGACCCGCGCAGGUACUG